UACCUGGUUGAUCCUGCCAGUAGUCAUAUGCUUGUCUCAAAGAUUAAGCCAUGCAAGUCUAAGUACGAGCUCUCGUACAGUGAAACUGCGAAUGGCUCAUUAAAUCAGUUAUGGUUCAUUUGAUCGUACAGUUUACUUGGAUAACUGUGGUAAUUCUAGAGCUAAUACAUGCGAGAAGCGCCGACCUCGCGGGAGGCGUGCAUUUAUCAGACCAAAAACCGGCCGCGUCUUCGGGCGCGUUUGCCUUGGUGACUCUGGAUAACUUUGCGGAUCGCACGGUCUAGCACCGGCGACGGAUCAUUCAAGUGUCUGCCCUAUCAACUUUCGUCGGUACGGUAUUUGCCUACCGAGGUUCUUACGGGUGACGGGGAAUCAGGGUUCGAUUCCGGAGAGGGAGCCUGAGAAACGGCUACCACAUCCAAGGAAGGCAGCAGGCGCGCAAAUUACCCAUUCCCGACGCGGGGAGGUAGUGACGAAAAAUAACAAUGCAGGACUCGUUCGAGGCCCUGUAAUUGGAAUGAGUACACUUUAAAAGCUUUAACGAGUAUCCAUUGGAGGGCAAGUCUGGUGCCAGCAGCCGCGGUAAUUCCAGCUCCAAAAGUAUAUAUUUAAGUUGUUGCGGUUAAAAAGCUCGUAGUUGGAUUUUGGGCGCAGGCGGCCGGUACGUCGCAAGGCGUGUACGGAGUCG
rnacentral:ncRNA from 1 species